AAAUGUCUAGAAAGCCAAUACAUGUCUCUACCCAGAACCUAGUGUCACAACAUUCAUAGACUACUACGAAUACUACAUACAUCAGUUUGACGGAAAAGUAAAGUUGUUUGUCUCGAAUACAUGAGAUAACAGGAUAUAAAAUAGGAUAUAGAAAAUGCCGGCCAUGUGGACGUCUGCAAGGCUACCUCGAUGUCUCAGUGGACUGAAGGGUAGCUCCUAAACUACUGCUGCAUACCAAAUGUUGCUCCAGUAUC
rnacentral:lncRNA from 1 species